CAGCCACUAGCCGUAGUCCCGUACGAUGACCAGUUCCAGCAGAGGCCGCCGGUCCCAUUCGAGGGUGCCGGCCAUGUCCUGCUCCCGCAGCAGCAGCAGCAGCCGGUGAACCCGGGCGCAAGCAACGUCCGGCCUCAGCAGGUAGCCUUUUUGAAUUUUUUUUGGUUUUGGGGACCGUACUUUUUUUGUUUUUAUUUGACAAACUGUGAAAUUAGUUUUUAUUUUAAUCUAUAUUUAGUGCCUCGUACAUGUGCGUCAAGAUUCGAUAUGACGGGAAAUCUUGAAAUUUUUUUUAUUUUUGGAGGGAACUAAACAGGGCCUAUAUUGCUCCUAAUCACAAAACAAUUAAAAUAUCAAACUUGUGCAAUGCUUCGGCACGUCUUUUACUUGUUAGACUGUCUCCAACGGCCAAGCCAUUACAUACCCAAAUCCAAAAAUAGGUUAUCCUCGUUGCUUGAGGUGAAAAACUCAUGGUCCAACAGGGUAGUCAAACCAAAUUCAUGGUCCAACAGGGUAGUCAAACCAAAGAUGCAAUUUGCGUUGGAGUCCACUGGGAACCCAAAAAUGUGUCCUCACACUCCAUCUCUCUCCUUGACCCAAAUCAAUCCUGGAAAAGCUUUGUCGUCGGCACCGCGUCGUCCAGUCUUCGCAAGUAUAGAAUUGUAAUAC
rnacentral:lncRNA from 1 species